GUGCCAGCAGCCGCGGUAAUACGGGGGGGGCAAGCGUUGUUCGGAAUUACUGGGCGUAAAGGGCUCGUAGGCGGCCAACUAAGUCAGACGUGAAAUCCCUCGGCUUAACCGGGGAACUGCUUCUGAUACUGGAUGGCUUGAGUUUGGGAGAGGGAUGCGGAAUUCCAGGUGUAGCGGUGAAAUGCGUAGAUAUCUGGAGGAACACCGGUGGCGAAGGCGGCAUUCUGGACCGGUAUUGACGCUGAUGAACGAAAGCUAGGGGGCAAACAGGAUUAGAUACCCCGGUAGUCCACGCUGUAAACGAUGACGACUAGGUGUGGGGGGGUUCAGUCCCUUCCGUGCCGCAGCUAACGCAUUAAGUCGUCCGCCUGGGGAGUACGGCCGCAAGGUUGAAACUCAAAGGAAUUGACGG
rnacentral:rRNA from 1 species